rnacentral:misc_RNA from 1 species
CACAAAAUCUCACGUGUCCUUACCUCCAAGUACUUCCAAGCAUGCUUUAAAACCCCUCCUACCCCAUACGUCAGUGUGUGACCCCCAAAAAUUGCCAUGGAGAUCGAUCCCCUGGAGCAACCAGAUCACCAGAUCAAAGAUGAAGACCUCUUCAAGGCUGCAGAGGCCGGCGAUUCUUCGACAUUCAAAGCCCUUUCAUCGGAACAUCUUUCUAAAGCUCUCUCUCUCCUAAACGAUGACGGCCGCUCCCUCCUCCAUGUCGCUGCCUCUUCAGGUCACCCUGAGGUGGUGCAAAUACUAUCCAGUGUGGAUGAAUCAAAAAGUGUGGUAAACAACAAGGAUGAGGAAGGUUGGGCACCACUGCACUCUGCUGCCAGUAUUGGGAAUCUGGAAAUUGUGGAGAUUCUGUUAAGUAGAGGAGCCGAUGUUAAUUUGAAAAAUGAUGGUGGUCGAACUGCUCUUCACUAUGCUGCCAGCAAGGGAUGGUUGAAAAUUGCUGAAAUUCUGAUAUCACAUGGUGCUAAGAUUAAUCUGAAGGACAAGGUUGGUUGUACCGCACUGCACCGAGCAGCUAGUACAGGGAAGUCAGAUUUGUGUGAACUUUUAAUCGAGGAAGGAGCUGAGGUUGAUGCUAUUGAUAAAGCUGGUCAAACUCCACUUAUGAAUGCAGUCGAUUACCAUAACAAAGACGUUGCUCUACUUCUUAUAAGACAUGGAGCAGACGUGGAUGUGGAAGACAAGGAAGGGUACACUGUGCUUGGUCGAGCAUCUGAUGAUUUCAGGCCAAUGCUGAUUGAUGCUGCCAAGGCCAUGCUUGAAGGAUGAGUUAUGAACUAGUUUUACAAAGUUAGAUGGGGAAUUUAGGUAAGUAGCUGGUUUAUCAAUGAGGUUUUGGCAGUUGCAUUCUGAUGUAUUUUAUCUGCAUGUUGUGUGUGAUAGAGGAGAGUUGCAAUGCAGUUGUUGGUAUGUGCAGCAAUGAUUUUCCUGUUGCUGGUUUAAUUGUCCUUGUGUUUUUUACUUGGCUGUUCCUUUAGGCCAUGUUCAGUAACUUUGGCGU